UAAUAUAAAAGAUAUUGGGGAAGUUGGGUGAAAGUCCCACGCAAGUGCGUUACCGUUAUAGCCGGGGUACCAAGGUUGUA
rnacentral:ncRNA from 2 species